GGGAUACAAGAAUAUUUCAGAUUAUAAGUGAAAUUUAUAGAGCUGAAGUACAACAACCUAAUACCUUCCAUCAAUCUACCAAAUUCAUUUUAAGUCAAUAGUCAAUAAUAACCACGGCAGAGGGAAUAUACUUUUCUAGUUACCUUAAUGCCCCAACAGGUUGCCAUGCCUAACCAGUAAUGACCCUGAAAUAUACAAUUUCACAACAACUAACUCUUCUGCUACGCCCCAACAGGUUGCCAUGCCUAACCAGUAAUGACCCUGAAAUAUAUCAUUUCACAACAACUAACUCUUCUGCUACGCCCCAACAGGUUGCCAUGCCUAACCAGUAAUGACCCUGAAAUAUAUCAUUUCACAACAACUAACUCUUCUGCUACGCCCCAACAGGUUGCCAUGCCUAACCAGUAAUGACCCUGAAAAAUACAAUUUCACAACAACUAACUCUUCUGCUACGCCCCAACAGGUUGCCAUGCCUAACCAGUAAUGACCCUGAAAUAUACAAUUUCACAACAACUAACUCUUCUGCUACGCCCCAACAGGUUGCCAUGCCUAACCAGUAAUGACCCUGAAAUAUACAAUUUCACAACAACUAACUCUUCUGCUACGCCCCAACAGGUUGCCAUGCCUAACCAGUAAUGACCCUGAAA